AGGCCACUGGCGCCGGUCUCCCACACGCUGCCGCACCUUCGGGUUCCAGCCUCACUGCCUGCGACAGCCCGGCUCCGCACGACCUUUUAAAGGUAGCUUUUCUGAGCUCAAGGGAAAGGCCCAAAUAUGGGAACCUGGGAAGAAGCAUUGAGAGGGUGGUCCUUUGGGAUAGGAGGUUGAAGAAACAGCAUUUGUUCAGAGUGUGCCAGGCGAGAUCAUGCAUUCGGGUAUGAUUGUUCUAGUGUGAAUCCUUUCACAGGUAAGACACGUGUCCUCCUACAACUCAAGGCGGGAAAAACACAAAAGGCCAGUUCCUGCUGGUGGACAUACUGAAGGAGGACCUGAGAUGCUAAAGAAAACAGCUCACACACAAGGUGAAGGAAGCCCAGGUAGAGGGUAUGGAUCCCUCGAACCUGUCAGUAGACGAAACACACGGCUUCUUGUGUGCAGAGAAACAGCUCCAUCCGAGAACACCGCCUGGACCUCCGCCUACUCAUGUGAUGAAGGAACAACAGUAGCCUUGGCAAUCCACGCUUGUGCCACCUACCUGCAGCCAGCUUCUCCCCCACCCCCAUCACCAGCAGGUCACUCUGGCCAUCUUUGAUGGCCCUCUAUGGAAGAUAUCACUAUCCCUCAGCUUCCCCCUGGUUGGUUGGCAAGAGUAUCUUGCUACAACCAACCUUUUCAUGGAUACAUGUUCAUAUCCUCUGUGGGCUGGUGAGGUGGCUCUGUGAGUAGACACCUGCCAUCAAGUCUGUCAAGCUGAGUCCUAUCCCUCAGACCAAGGGAAAAGAAGAGAACCAA
rnacentral:lncRNA from 1 species